AACCUUAUGGACCUGCGGGCGUAUACCUGCGGAAGGAUCAUUACUGAGUUAGGGUAGUCACUCACUGCCCGACCUCCAACCCUGUGUCUACCAUACUUUGUCGUUGCUUCGGCGGACCGGUUGACCAACUGGUCGUGACCGCCGGGGGCUGGCUCUGUCACCCCUGGAGAGCGUCCGCCGAUGGCCCAACCACAAAACUCUUGUACCGAAACGUGUCGUCUGAAUUAUAUUUGAGAAAUC
rnacentral:misc_RNA from 1 species